rnacentral:rRNA from 1 species
AGGGAAUCUUCGGCAAUGGACGAAAGUCUGACCCAGCAACGCCGCGUGAAGGAAGAAGGCUUUCGGGUUGUAAACUUCUUUUAACAGGGAAGAGAAGAAGACGGUACCUGUUGAAUAAGCCACGGCUAACUACGUGCCAGCAGCCGCGGUAAUACGUAGGUGGCAAGCGUUGUCCGGAUUUACUGGGUGUAAAGGGCGUGUAGCCGGGAAGGCAAGUCAGAUGUGAAAUCUGGAGGCUCAACCACCAAACUGCAUUUGAAACUGCUUGUCUUGAGUAUCGGAGAGGUAAUCGGAAUUCCUUGUGUAGCGGUGAAAUGCGUAGAUAUAAGGAAGAACACCAGUGGCGAAGGCGGAUUACUGGACGACAACUGACGGUGAGGCGCGAAAGCGUGGGGAGCAAAC